rnacentral:rRNA from 1 species
UAAGGAACUUGCCUCUUGGACUGGGACAACUGUUGGAAACGACAGCUAAUACCGGAUAUUAUGAGAUUCUCGCAUGAGAAACUUAUGAAAGCUAUAUGCGCCAAGAGAGAGCCUUGCGUUCCAUUAGCUAGUUGGUGGGGUAAUGGCCCACCAAGGCGACGAUGGAUAGCCGGCCUGAGAGGGUGAACGGCCACAAGGGGACUGAGACACGGCCCUUACUCCUACGGGAGGCAGCAGUGGGGAAUAUUGGACAAUGGGCCACAAGCCUGAUCCAGCAAUUCUGUGUGCACGAUGAAGGUCUUCGGAUUGUAAAGUGCUUUCAGUUGGGAAGAGGAAAGUGACGGUACCAACAGAAGAAGCGACGGCUAAAUACGUGCCAGCAGCCGCGGUAAUACGUAUGUCGCAAGCGUUAUCCGGAUUUAUUGGGCGUAAAGCGCGUCUAGGCGGAAAAAUAAGUCUGAUGUUAAAAUGCGGGGCUCAACUCCGUAUUGCGUUGGAAACUGUUUUUCUAGAGUACUGGAGAGGUGGGGCGAACUACAAGUGUAGAGGUGAAAUUCGUA